rnacentral:rRNA from 1 species
GACGAACGCUGGCGGCGUGCUUAACACAUGCAAGUCGAACGGAAAGGCCCUGCUUUUGUGGGGUGCUCGAGUGGCGAACGGGUGAGUAACACGUGAGUAACCUGCCCUUGACUUUGGGAUAACUUCAGGAAACUGGGGCUAAUACCGGAUAGGAGCUCCUGCUGCAUGGUGGGGGUUGGAAAGUUUCGGCGGUUGGGGAUGGACUCGCGGCUUAUCAGCUUGUUGGUGGGGUAGUGGCUUACCAAGGCUUUGACGGGUAGCCGGCCUGAGAGGGUGACCGGCCACAUUAGGACUGAGAGACGGCCCAGACUCCUACGGGAGGCAGCAGUGGGGAAUAUUGCACAAUGGGCGGAAGCCUGAUGCAGCAACGCCGCGUGCGGGAUGACGGCCUUCGGGUUGUAAACCGCUUUCGCCUGUGACGAAGCGUGAGUGACGGUAAUGGGUAAAGAAGCACCGGCUAACUACGUG